GAUGAACGCUGGCGGCGUGCCUAAUACAUGCAAGUCGAGCGCAGCGGGGUGGGGGGAGGAACACGUGGAAAACCUCCUUUAAGACCGGGAUAACUUCGGGAAACCGGAGCUAAACCGGAUGCUUAUAGAUGGAUCCGCGCUGCAUUAGCUAGUGGGUAAGUGAACGGCUUACCAAGGCAACGAUGAAUAGCCGACCUGGGGGGGUGAUCGGCCACACUGGAACUGAGCCACGGGCCAGACUCCUACGGGAGGCAGGAGUAGGGAAUCUUCCGCAAUGGGCGGAAGCCUGACGGAACCACGCCGCGUGGGUGAAGAAGGUCUUCGGAUCGUAAAACUCUGUUAUUUGGGAAGCUGUACCUAAUCAGAAAACCACGGCUUACUUCGGGCCAGCAGCCGCGGUAAUUC
rnacentral:rRNA from 1 species